GACGUAGGGCGCGAGCGUUGUCCGGAUUUAUUGGGCGUAAAGAGCUCGUAGGCGGCUUGUCGCGUCGACUGUGAAAUCCCGAGGCUCAACUUCGGGCUUGCAGUCGAUACGGGCAGGCUAGAGUUCGGUAGGGGAGACUGGAAUUCCUGGUGUAGCGGUGAAAUGCGCAGAUAUCAGGAGGAACACCGAUGGCGAAGGCAGGUCUCUGGGCCGGAUACUGACGUGAGGAGCGAAAGCGUGGGGAGCGAACGG
rnacentral:rRNA from 1 species